rnacentral:rRNA from 1 species
ACGAACGCUGGCGGCAGGCCUUAUACAUGCAAGUCGAGCGCAUCCUUCGGGAUGAGCGGCGGACGGGUGAGUAACGCGUGGGAAUGUGCCCUUCUCUACGGAAUAGCCACUGGAAACGGUGAGUAAUACCGUAUACGCCCUUAGGGGGAAAGAUUUAUCGGAGAAGGAUCAGCCCGCGUUAGAUUAGGUAGUUGGUGGGGUAACGGCCUACCAAGCCUACGAUCUAUAGCUGGUUUUAGAGGAUGAUCAGCCACACUGGGACUGAGACACGGCCCAGACUCCUACGGGAGGCAGCAGUGGGGAAUAUUGG